UUGCCCCAGCGAUUGAAGAACUGUCUAGGCUGUGUGGUAAAAGGCACUUACAAAAUAAGUUACCAAGCGGUGUAACUUUCAUAUUAGAAACCCUUGGGCCUACCACUUUCAAAAGAACCUGCACAGAACCAUGGCUGUCUCGCGCACGUAGAGGUGAAGGGUGAUGGUGGGGAAGGGCCUGGAGCAGUGGUGGGGAUAAGUCGUUGGGGCGAGGUGUCUUUCCCCCCACUCUGACUCUCCUGCAUGCACGACUCAAACAGAGUCAUUGAUUGAGGUGCUGGUGAACUGAUUGAAGACUUAAACAUGUUUUGUUAUUAGUGUGAGGUGUAAUAGUACGGACUGUUGUGAUAAAUUACCACUGUUUAUGAUUUACUUUAUAUGUUUUUAAAAUAAAUGUUCUAC